rnacentral:rRNA from 1 species
AGCAGCCGCGGUAAUUCCAGCUCCAAUAGCGUAUAUUAAAGUUGUUGCAGUUAAAAAGCUCGUAGUUGAAUUUCGGGGUUAGCAGGUCGGUCGUGCCAUUGGUAUGAACUGGUCUCGCUGAUCCCUCCCUCUUGACGAACUGUGAUGCCAUUAAUUUGGUGUCGCAGGGAAUCAGGACUGUUACUUUGAAAAAUUAGAGUGCUUAAAGCAGGCUCACGCUUGAAUACAUUAGCAUGGAAUAAUGAAAUAGGACGUUUGAUCCUAUUUUGUUGGCUUCUAGGAUUGACGUAAUGAUUAAUAGGGAUAGUUGGGGCAUUAGUAUUCAAUUGUCAGAGGUGAAAUUCUUGGAUUUAUUGAAGACUAACUACUGCGAAAGCAUUUGCCAAGGAUGUUUUCAUUAAUCAAGAACGAAAGUUAGGGGAUCGAAGACGAUCAGAUACCAUCGUAAGUCUUAACCAUAAACUAU